UUUAAUUGGUAGUCUACUGACAAACCAUAAAACUCAGCCUAAGACUGAUGUACACACUGAAGUACACGGACAUAAGUGUGACGAAACAUCCACAUGAGCUUAUUUCUUUUGCAUUUCUCAGAAUCGUCCCUCUAGCAGUCAUAUCUCCUAUGAAAUUAAACUUCCAGUAACAUGAGACAAAAUCCAGAGAUAUCUGGAAUUAAAUGAUAUCCAUCUAAUCUUUCUUCUCUCUUCUUCCUUCGCCUUGCUAAAUUGAAAUGACCGUCUGGGAGGUUUCCGUUCCCUGCUAACGUAGCUCUGUUUUACAAUGAAGAUAAUCAAAUCCCUACUCGAAUGGCCCACAUAAUGUCAGAUUGUUUUACCUGCACAGAAGUAAGAGGAGGAUGAAUCUGAUGAGAAGGAGGAUAAUGUGGAAAAGGAGAAGAGAAGAAAUCCAAAAUAUGAGGAAGAGGAAGUAAAUUGGCGGGGAAGGAAAACAGAUAAGGAGCUCAAGUAGAAAUAUGAUCCACGCCAGAUGUCAAAACAAGAUGUUGUUGGCAAAAUGGCAGAUCGUUGGGGAGAAGAAGUCAAAGACAUCCAAGGGCCCCCUAGGAUGUAGUGACACCUGGGGUGAUCAAUAUCGACAGACGUCCUGGAUGCUGUGGGUGUUUUCGAAGAUGUAGAUUUGGGGAAAAGUGAGAGCAGUGGUCAGGAGGACUUCAGCUGGACCGGGCUGUUCUCCUUCCAGUACCUGAGGGCAGCUCACCUAAAGCUCUGUGCUGUCAACUUGGACCUGAAGCCGUAUUUACCAUCGUUCCCAGAGGAGCAGUCGGUGCACGUGGGGUGUCGCAGCAGGAGACAGAUGCCCUGUGCUACCACAUGCAGGUGUACCUCGGCCAUGCUCUGGGCACCUGCAGCUGGAAGAUCAUCUCCAAAAGCUACGAUACCUUGGAGUACUAUGAGAGCCUAAGUGAGCUGAGGAAGAAAGGCUGCGAAGUUUUGCUGGAGAGAGCCAAAAGAUGUGUAAUUUAUACUAUAAGAACAUUGGAUAUGAUGUUCUUGGUACUUGAAGGUGUGAGUUUAUAAAAGCAAGGAGCACUUUCUGAGUAACCUCUUCAAUUCUACCAUCAAUGCAGAAGUUCCUAAAUAUGUCCUGAAUAUAUGGAUUACAGUGUAUAAAAUGAUGCAACAAGAAAUCUGAUUUUCUAAUUGAUGUAAUGCUGCAGCUUUAAAACAACGGCAUCUUGGGUUUGAAUCUUUUAUAAACAUUCACGUUCAGCGAACAUCACAAAUAUUGUAGGAGCAUCAGUAGUAAGAUUUUUCCUUUCCCUUUCCAUGUGUAUGCUUCAGUGAAGUGCUGCAAGACACAUAAUAUGACCUUUUUAUACAACAGAAUAUGUGGCAUUUUCAUGCAGUGUAGAAAGGUUUUGUCCCCCUCUCACUGACUUUGAAGCUACUUAAAGGGAAAUCAGUUCAAGGAGUUAAAGGGCUCUUUCCAAGAGAAUAAAGCAGAUACUGUUGGUGUUGCAUUGUCAAGCAAGUUAAUCAUUAAAAUGUGUCCAAACUGUUCUCUGAA